UGCAAUCGAGAGUUCAUGAGAUGUGACCAUCUCAGGCAGCACAAAAGAACUCAUCUGCCCAAAUGAGCUGUGAUGACAAGGGACAGAGGUGUCAAUCCUGGUCUUGCUUAGGAUGGAAAUGAUUGUUGGCACUCCUAUCAGGAAGCUGGAUAAAGCAGCAGUCCUCAAACUUGACCAUCUUAUUGAAUCACCUGAAAGAGUUUUAACAAAGAAACACCAAGCAAACUGCUGGCCAGCCUUCCCCACAGCUUACGAUUUAAGAGACAGAAACUGUGCCCUGGGCAUCAGGAGUUUUUAAAAAGCUCCAAAAUCAUCCCCAGAUGAUUAUCCUGUGCAGCAAAAGUUGAGGAGCACUGACUAGAGAGUGAGAUAAUAGAAAACACAUUUGCGAGUUUGAGAAAGAAGGCUGAUUCAAAUCGCCUGACAGGAAUACUUCUGAAUUAGCUACAGAUUUUGAGUAUACGUUCUACGUGUUCCCAAAACACCAUAGAAAAUGGAGACUUAGAUGUGCUACUAACUACACUAACAUCUUAUGAACCAAAAUUAUAACCACACCAUUAUCUCAUUAAAACCCUG
rnacentral:lncRNA from 1 species